UGAUGGGUCACGGGAGAGACCGCGGAAUAUCUGCCGCGGCGCCGAAGGGGAACGCAGAAGCUCUCAGGCAAAAGGACCGGACUCGGAC
rfam:Firmicutes bacterium CAG:129 genomic scaffold, scf7